rnacentral:rRNA from 1 species
ACGCUGGCGGCGUGCUUAACACAUGCAAGUCGAACGGUGACGGAGGAGCUUGCUCCUCCUGAUCAGUGGCGAACGGGUGAGUAACACGUGAGUAACCUGCCCCAGACUCUGGAAUAACAGUUGGAAACAGCUGCUAAUACCGGAUACGAGACGGAGAGGCAUCUCUACCGUCUGGAAAGUUUUUCGGUCUGGGAUGGACUCGCGGCCUAUCAGCUUGUUGGUGAGGUAAUGGCUCACCAAGGCGACGACGGGUAGCCGGCCUGAGAGGGCGACCGGCCACACUGGGACUGAGACACGGCCCAGACUCCUACGGGAGGCAGCAGUGGGGAAUAUUGCACAAUGGGCGAAAGCCUGAUGCAGCAACGCCGCGUGAGGGAUGACGGCCUUCGGGUUGUAAACCUCUUUCAGUAGGGAAGAAGCGCAAGUGACGGUACCUACAGAAGAAGCACCGGCUAACUACGUG